CCUACGGGAGGCAGCAGUGGGGAAUAUUGGACAAUGGGCGAAAGCCUGAUCCAGCAAUGCCGCGUGAGUGAUGAAGGCCUUAGGGUCGUAAAGCUCUUUUACCCGGGAUGAUAAUGACAGUACCGGGAGAAUAAGCCCCGGCUAACUCCGUGCCAGCAGCCGCGGUAAUACGGAGGGGGCUAGCGUUGUUCGGAAUUACUGGGCGUAAAGCGUACGUAGGCGGUUAUUCAAGUCAGAGGUGAAAGCCCGGGGCUCAACCCCGGAACGGCCUUUGAAACUAGAUAGCUAGAGUCUUGGAGAGGUCAGUGGAAUUCCGAGUGUAGAGGUGAAAUUCGUAGAUAUUCGGAAGAACACCAGUGGCGAAGGCGACUGACUGGACAAGUACUGACGCUGAGGUACGAAAGCGUGGGGAGCAAACAGGAUUAGAUACCCUGGUAGUCCACGCCGUAAACGAUGAUAACUAGCUGUCCGGGUACUUGGUAUCUGGGUGGCGCAGCUAACGCAUUAAGUUAUCCGCCUGGGGAGUACGGUCGCAAGAUUAAAACUCAAAUGAAUUGACGG
rnacentral:rRNA from 1 species